CCUACGGGUGGCAGCAGUGGGGAAUAUUGGACAAUGGGCGAAAGCCUGAUCCAGCCAUGCCGCGUGUGUGAAGAAGGCCUUCGGGUUGUAAAGCACUUUCAGUGGGGAAGAAAGCCUUGGGGCUAAUACCCUCGAGGAAGGACAUCACCCACAGAAGAAGCACCGGCUAACUCCGUGCCAGCAGCCGCGGUAAUACGGAGGGUGCGAGCGUUAAUCGGAAUUACUGGGCGUAAAGCGCGCGUAGGCGGUCUGAUAAGCCGGUUGUGAAAGCCCCGGGCUCAACCUGGGAACGGCAUCCGGAACUGUCAGGCUAGAGAGCAGGAGAGGAAGGUAGAAUUCCCGGUGUAGCGGUGAAAUGCGUAGAGAUCGGGAGGAAUACCAGUGGCGAAGGCGGCCUUCUGGACUGACACUGACGCUGAGGUGCGAAAGCGUGGGUAGCAAACAGGAUUAGAUACCCCUGUAGU
rnacentral:rRNA from 1 species